rnacentral:rRNA from 1 species
GACGAAGCGUGCGAACGUUGUUCGGAUUCACUGGGCUUAAAGGGCGCGUAGGCGGAUUCUUCAGUCUGUGGUGAAAGCCCCCGGCUCAACCGGGGAACAGCCGUGGAUACUGAGAGUCUGGAGGGAGGUAGGGGCAGCUGGAACUUCCGGUGGAGCGGUGAAAUGCGUAGAGAUCGGAAGGAACGCCGGUGGCGAAAGCGAGCUGCUGGACCUCUUCUGACGCUGAGGCGCGAAAGCGAGGGGAGCAAACGGG